rnacentral:sRNA from 1 species
GGGCAAAGAGGGCCGGCGGAGACCAGGUCCGCGCCGGAGGAAGCCGCGCCCGGCCGAGGCCCCGGACCCUGCGCCCCGAGCUCCACGGCACCAUGGCCCCGAAGCUGCUGCUCCUCCUCUGCCUGUUCUCGGGCUUGCACGCGCGGUCCAGAAAGGUGGAAGAGGAUGAAUAUGAAGAUUCAUCAUCAAACCAAAAGUGGGUCUUGGCUCCAAAAUCCCAAGACACCGACGUGACUCUUAUUCUCAACAAGUUGCUAAGAGAAUAUGAUAAAAAGCUGAGGCCAGAUAUUGGAAUAAAACCGACCGUAAUUGACGUUGACAUUUAUGUUAACAGCAUUGGUCCUGUGUCAUCAAUAAACAUGGUAAGAAGCUCCUUUAUUUUCUGAUCUAACGGCUGUUGCACCUCUUCUUGUUACAUUCUCAUUGUGGAUUUCUGUUUGAGAUUUAUCAUGCAGGUUUAAAACUCACACUGACUUCUUAAAUCUGUAACACUUAUUGGAAUAUUGAAAAUGGUAAAAAAAACAAUGAAGAAAGAUAGCUUGUGAUGGUAGUAGCAUUUCCACUUUUAGUUUCUUCUUUCAACAUCCAAGAGACCUGUCUUUUAUAGUGUUUCUU